rnacentral:ncRNA from 2 species
GUAGCUGGUUCCCUCCGA